CAAGCAGGCCGGGUGAUCGCGGUUCCGGUUCGCCGGGAUCGAGGAAAGUCCGCACUCCACAGAGCAUGGUCGGCUAACGGCCGGGCGGGUGACUCGACGGCAAGUGCAGCAGAGGCAAAUUGCCGCAGGGGGCAACCCCUUGGCGAGGUGAAACGGUGGGUGUAAGAGACCACCGGCGGCGGCAGCGAUGUCGCCGGCCAGGCAAACCCCACCAGGAGCAAGGCCAAGCAGGGCGAAUGGCGGCUACCGCCUACGGGGCGGCUCGUUCCGUCUGACGUCCGGGUAGGCUGCACGAGGUCGCCGGUAACGGCGGCCCCAGAGAGAUGAUCACCGAGUGUUGGCCUGCCAACGCCUACAGAAUGCGGCUUAUAGGCCCGCUUGCUAA
rnacentral:RNase_P_RNA from 1 species